rnacentral:rRNA from 1 species
UACGUAGGGUGCGAGCGUUAAUCGGAAUUACUGGGCGUAAAGUGUGCGCAGGCGGCUUCGCAAGUCGAGUGUGAAAUCCCCGAGCUUAACUUGGGAAUUGCGCUCGAAACUACGGAGCUGGAGUGUGGCAGAGGAAGGUGGAAUUCCACGUGUAGCGGUGAAAUGCGUAGAGAUGUGGAGGAACACCGAUGGCGAAGGCAGCCUUCUGGGCCAACACUGACGCUCAUGCACGAAAGCGUGGGGAGCAAACAGG